rnacentral:rRNA from 1 species
UACGAAGGGUGCAAGCGUUACUCGGAAUCACUGGGCGUAAAGGGCGCGUAGGCGGACUUUUAAGUCGGAGGUGAAAGCCCAGGGCUCAACCCUGGAAUUGCCUUCGAUACUGGGAGUCUUGAGUUCGGAAGAGGUUGGUGGAACUGCGAGUGUAGAGGUGAAAUUCGUAGAUAUUCGCAAGAACACCGGUGGCGAAGGCGGCCAACUGGUCCGAAACUGACGCUGAGGCGCGAAAGCGUGGGGAGCAAACAGG